GUUCCCUUCACACGCCUGUUUGGACAGAUCCUGGCGCCCAAUCAAGAGACAAACCGCUUCUGGCCAGUCUGAGGCAGGCUGCUCUCGGCAAUAAUAUAUCGCGUCUCUAAUAGGAAGAGCUACACCAAAGGGGAGAGACUCCAGAUCUCUUAAGGAAAGACAAGGCCACAUUACUCCCACGUUCUCCAAGCAAAAGGACAGCACAUAACAAACACAAGACACUGGGAGACACUCUGAUGACAUCAAAGCAUCGUUACCUGAUGUAAUCUUGUACAAAUAAUGGGAGGCUUCGUUAGAUACAGCGCUCUCAUCACCAAGUAUGUACAGAGCCACACUCUGGAUAGGAAAGAGACACCAUAAUACAAAGUCACUCAGUCUGCAGCUAUUGUGUACUGG